rnacentral:tRNA from 1 species
GCGCCCAUAGCUCAAUGGAUAGAGUGCCGGACUUCGAAUCCGUCGGUUGAGCGUUCGACCCGCUCUGGGCGCA